rnacentral:rRNA from 1 species
UACAGAGACUGCAAGCGUUACUCGGAUUCACUGGGCGUAAAGGGAGCGCAGGCGGACUCAUGUGUCGGACGUGAAAUACCGGGGCUUAACCCCGGUGCUGCGUCCGAAACUAUGAGUCUAGAGACUUGGAGGGGUAAGCGGAAUUCUUGGUGGAGCAGUGAAAUGCGUAGAUAUCAAGAGGAACACCAACGGCGAAGGCAGCUUACUGGACAAGAUCUGACGCUCAGGCUCGAAAGCGUGGGGAGCAAAAGGG